rnacentral:rRNA from 1 species
CUCCUACGGGAGGCAGCAGUGGGGAAUAUUGCACAAUGGGCGCAAGCCUGAUGCAGCAACGCCGCGUGAAUGAUGAAGGCCUUCGGGUCGUAAAGUUCUGUCCAAAGGGAAGAAUACAGUGACGGUACCUUUGGAGGAAGCCCCGGCUAACUACGUGCCAGCAGCCGCGGUAAUACGUAGGGGGCAAGCGUUAUCCGGAAUCACUGGGCGUAAAGGGAGCGUAGGCGGCUUGACAAGCCAGAGGUGAAAGGCAAUAGCUUAACUAUUGUAAGCCUUUGGAACUGUCGAACUUGAGUGCAGGAGAGGAAAGUGGAAUUCCUAGUGUAGCGGUGAAAUGCGUAGAUAUUAGGAGGAACACCAGUGGCGAAGGCGACUUUCUGGACUGUAACUGACGCUGAGGCUCGAAAGCGUGGGGAGCGAACAGGAUUAGAUACCCUGGUAGUCCACGCUGUAAACGAUGAAUACUAGGUGUCUGGUGUCAAAGCUAGGUGCCGCAGCUAACGCAUUAAGUAUUCCGCCUGGGGAGUACGCACGCAAGUGUGAAACUCAAAGGAAUUGACGGGGACCCGCACAAGCAGCGGAGUAUGUGGUUUAAUUCGAAGCAACGCGAAGAACCUUACCAGGUCUUGACAUCCUUCUGACCGAUCCUUAGCCGGAUCUUCCCUUCGGGGCAGAAGAGACAGGUGGUGCAUGGUUGUCGUCAGCUCGUGUCGUGAGAUGUUGGGUUAAGUCCCGCAACGAGCGCAACCCUUGCCUUUAGUUGCCAUCAGGUCAUGCUGGGCACUCUAGAGGGACUGCCGGUGACAAACCGGAGGAAGGUGGGGAUGACGUCAAAUCAUCAUGCCCCUUAUGAUCUGGGCUACACACGUGCUACAAUGGUCGGUACAACGGGCAGCGAAGUCGAGAGAUGGAGCGAAUCCUAAAAAGCCGAUCCCAGUUCGGAUUGUGGGCUGAAACUCGCCCACAUGAAGUUGGAGUUGCUAGUAAUCGCGGAUCAGAAUGCCGCGGUGAAUGCGUUCCCGGGUCUUGUACACACCGCCCGUCACACCAUGGAAGUUGGGGGGACCCGAAGCCAGUGAUCCAACCGUAAGGAGGAAGCUGUCGAAGGUAAAACCAAUGACUGGGGUGAAGUCGUAACAAGGUA